GGAGCAGGCCGGGUGACCGCGGGCCGGCUCCGCGAGGCUCUAUGCCUCAAAGACGCCGGCUCGAGGAAAGUCCGGACACCGCAGGGCAAGGACGCUGCGUCGUCUCAUCCGGGGCGACGCAGGCGGCGAAAGCCGACGGAAAGUGGAACAGAAAGGAGACCGCCGGCGGAGGGAAACCGAAGCCGGUAAGGGUGAAACGGUGGGGUAAGAGCCCACCAGCGGCCGUGGCGACACGGUCGGCUAGCCAAACCCCGUCCGGUGCAAGGCGAAGCAGGUCCCGUUGACGCGGCCCGCCGAGGGACCGGGUACGCCGCAAAGAGAGAUGGUCACCCUCGACAGAAUCCGGCUUACAGGCCUGCUACGGAA
rnacentral:RNase_P_RNA from 1 species